rnacentral:lncRNA from 1 species
UCAAUAUCGAUCAAUUCAUUUCAAGUUAAGAUCUCUAUUUUCAUUAGGAAACCAUUCUUUCUUUCUCAAAUUUAAGGACGUGGGUAGCAGUGGCUGUCUCUUUUCAAUCCCUCCAGGAUGCUCAAGGGAACAAACAGACCUGAGAAACUCAGUUGAAAACCAAACCCCGUAAUAUUUAGUAGCUGCAAAUGGAUCCCAGGGGACACCAAACGAAUGCACGAUGGAGAGACAUGGAGGAAAGACCCAGAAAACAGUCUGUCAGGGUACUCAGCGUGGCUGCCUUCGAAGCACUUAUUUUGUGUGAACUUGUGUACCGCCUUCGGGACUGCCUCUCUAGUCUUCAUGGAAGAAACCAGGGACAAUCCUUCAUGUAGAAACACACAGACCAAUUGGAGAGGGACGCGGAUGAAGGAGAUCUCAGGUUCUAUUAAAAACUGCAUUUUAAUAUUUAUAAGGCCA